rnacentral:rRNA from 1 species
GAUGAACGCUGGCGGCGUGCCUAAUACAUGCAAGUAGAACGCUGAAGGAAGGAGCUUGCUCUUUCCGGAUGAGUUGCGAACGGGUGAGUAACGCGUAGGUAACCUGCCUGGUAGCGGGGGAUAACUAUUGGAAACGAUAGCUAAUACCGCAUAACAGUAGAUGUUGCAUGAUAUCUACUUAAAAGGUGCAAUUGCCCCACUACCAGAUGGACCUGCGUUGUAUUAGCUAGUUGGUGAGGUAACGGCUCACCAAGGCGACGAUACAUAGCCGACCUGAGAGGGUGAUCGGCCACACUGGGACUGAGACACGGCCCAGGCUCCCACGGGAGGCAGCAGUAGGGAAUCUUCGGCAAUGGACGGAAGUCUGGCCGAGCAACGCCGCGUGAGUGAAGAAGGUUUUCGGAUCGUAAAGCUCUGUUGUAAGAGAAGAACGAGUGUGAGAGUGGAAAGUUCACGCUGUGACGGUAUCUUACCAGAAAGGGACGGCUAACUACGUG